CCUUUAGGGCAGUCUUGGAAUAGAACAAACAAAUCUUCCCGCGUUCAGAAGAUAUGUUGAAGAUCGACAUUAUUAUGAAGUGCCGUCAAGAUUUGCUUUGUAUGGAGCUUAUAUGGAGGUUAGUCAAUGCCGAUAAAACUUGGAGCCAAGCCUGAUUUCAGGGCAUAGUUUCCCCACUCACAGACAACAAUGGCCGGUCGUACCACCGCGAAUAACGAUUUUUUAUACCAAUCCGAGAAAACCCAAAAAGCUGUGAAACCACGGGUAUGGUCUCGCAAUUAAUAAAAAAAGUUUAAAUUAUAAAUGUUCAGUUUGAUCUGGGUUAUGCCAAAAAACGGACUAUAUUAGAAAGCUUGAGAAAGUACCUAUCUGUGGCCCCAGUUUAUUAUUAAUUUUUGCAUUCAAUUUUUGCAUUCAGGGUUGGGGUUUAUACUCAGAGUUUCUUGGAGAAGAAAUGAAAGUCUAUAAAACUCCUUACGAUCUGUAAGUUAUAAAAAUGUAUUAGUUACUACUUUAGCCUCUCAGAAGAACUAAGGACUAAGGAUUCUCUUUAUUCCUUUAAUACUAAUUUUGCAAUGCCUGGCCGGUAAUGGUAUUAUAAUAUUAUUGUUAUAGUUUUAUUUAAAUAUGUAGUGUGUAUAUGUAGUGUAUAGUGUGUCUCUGAUGUAAAUAUGUUUCGUUAUUUUAUAUGAAUACCUACGCCCCCCUGGAAAUCAGCUUUCUGCUGUAGGGGUUAGCGUGGUGAAAUAAAGUUUUACCUACCUACCUAGUUCUUGCUAUGAUGCUUGUGAUCUUACUCUGAGUGUAUAUCCACACCAGGCAAGCUUGAAAAAUAUGCCUGGCCACGGUGGGAAUCGAGUAGUAGCUUAGAUUUAAUCAGCUACAAAUGAGUUGGUAUUACAAUAUACACAUAUAUUUAUAUCUCGCUGCAGGUUUGGCCGAUUUUCAGCCGAGAUUUUCCGUGCCUGUCGCUGUGUCGUGGACACUGGAAUGCACGUCAAAGG
rnacentral:lncRNA from 1 species